CAGAUUUUUUCAAGUAAACACUAUUUUCAUUUUGUGUGACACUAUUUAAGACUGUCAUAAAAAAAGAGCUGAGAGAGAGUUUUAGCCUUGUACUGAAGAAAAUUAAAUAUAUUAUUAGAUAUUCUCUAAUUAAAUCAUUUUACUCACAAGGGAAAUACAAGAUCUACUAUUAAGAAAUUUAUCAUAUUGCUGCAUUAAUAUACAAUUAUGGCCCGUUGAAAAGGUGAAUAUCGAAAAUUGUCAACACAAAAAGGUUGUUUUACUU